rnacentral:rRNA from 1 species
CGGUGCCCCGGCGCAGGGGAGCGGCCAGAUAUUUAUGGCCGCUUCCCCUCGGUUUGUUCUAGUGGGUGGUGUUGUGGUAGUAGCGUAGGGUAAUCGUAGCGGUAAAAGGAACCUCUCUUCAUCGGUCUUUGUCGUCGCGGUACCGGCCGUAGUACGUGUUCUAGCUCCUCUUCGAGGUGUACCCGCCGCCGUCGCUGCUCGUGUUCUUCCUGCUCCUCGUGUUCUUCCGCCUCCUCGUGUUCUUCUUCCUGCCCCUCGUGUUCUUCCUGCCGCUCGUGUUCCUCCCGUACUACCUCUUCUAGUUCCUGUUCUAGUCGCCGCUGCCGUUCUUCCUGCCGCUGGUGUUCCUCUUCUUCCUGUUCUUCUUCUUCUUCCUGUUCUUCGUGCCGCUCCCGGUGUUCCUGCUGCUGCCGGUGCCGUCGUCGUCGUCGCUGUCGCUGUCGCUGACUCGGUCGAGGCCGGGCGCGAGGCCGUCGCACGUCACAUCCGCUCUAGCUACUACUUGUGAACCCUCUUCACACUGUCUGUAUAUACAACGUCCCAAACCUCGCACACCAUCGUAUACAUACAUUACGCACUGUACGGAGUACCUAGAACACUACAUAUUAUUAAUCGGCCGGCGUGACGUGACUUGCCACGAACAUUAUUAUUGCAAUUAGUACAACCAUAACUACAUAGAGGUAACCAUUAAACCAUAGGGGUACAAAAG